rnacentral:rRNA from 1 species
AUUGAACGCUGGCGGCAUGCCUUACACAUGCAAGUCGAACGGUAACGCGGGGCAACCUGGCGACGAGUGGCGAACGGGUGAGUAAAGCAUCGGAACGUGCCCAGUAGUGGGGGAUAGCCCGGCGAAAGCCGGAUUAAUACCGCAUACGACCUAUGGGUGAAAGGGGGGGAUCGCAAGACCUCUCGCUAUUGGAGCGGCCGAUGUCAGAUUAGGUAGUUGGUGGGGUAAAGGCCUACCAAGCCGACGAUCUGUAGCUGGUCUGAGAGGACAACCAGCCACACUAGGUCUGUGACACGGCCCAGCGUCAUACGGGAGGCAGCAGUGGGGAAUUGUGGACAAUGGGCGCAUGCCUGGACCAGUAAUGCCGCGUGCGGGAAGAGUGCCUUGGGGUUGUAAACCGCUUUUGUCAGGGAAGAAGUCCUUUGGGUUAAUCCCUCGGGGGGAUGACGGUACCUGAAGAAUAAGCACCGGCUAACUACGUGCCAGCAGCCGCCGUAA